CAGUAGCCACGGGAAAACGAAGGGGGCUAGCGUUGCUCGGAAUGACUGGGCGUAAAGGGCGCGUAGGCGGCGGCCAAAGUCAGGCGUGAAAUUCCUGGGCUUAACCUUGGGGCUGCGCUUGAUACUUGGUUGCUUGAGUGGGGAAGAGGGUCGUGGAAUUCCCAGUGUAGAGGUGAAAUUCGUAGAUAUUGGGAAGAACACCGGUGGCGAAGGCGGCGACCUGGUCCUUGACUGACGCUGAGGCGCGAAAGCGUGGGGAGCAAACAGGAUUAGAGACCCCCGUAGUCCCGUCUCUUAUACA
rnacentral:rRNA from 1 species